ACACACACACACACACACUUUUAAGGGCGGUGUCCACGCCUCUAACUCAUACAGCAACCGAAAAAACCCAACACAACAGCAGCAACCCUCACAACGAAGUAAGUCUGCUAGAGUAAAAGGCGGAUAUUUUCCAUUUCCAUUUCCAUCUCUCUCUCUCUCUCUCUUUCUCUCUCUGUGGACACACACCUGAAAUAAACUUUAUUCCAGAGCGAAUUAUGAGGAACUAGAAGAGACCAGCAGCCAUUAAAAAGCGGAAACAGGAAAAGCGGAAAUUGACAACAGUCUGGAAUCUUCUAUUGCUUUCUAGUAGUUGAUAAGGUUGAGAGAUCUCCAGGUCAACCUCCAUUUGAUUGCUGGUAGGAUGGGAGAAAAUGAUCAAUGGCUGCCGAAGCCUGUCUCAUCUCCCCACACCAGCUGGCUGAAAGAGUGUCUGCGGAAUUAUCUGGGGCCUCGGCGUGGUGUGGAACAUGAAGUUCACACUGAUCACGCAACGCACCAUUCCUUUUGUUCCAGAAAGCUUUUAAUUGUGGCUUUUCUUGCCAUGUUGGCUCUGGCUGUCAUGGGGCUUCUGCUGUUCUGGAACUACCAGUGCAUCUUUGUGUGGCACCUGUGCUAUGAAGACGAGGAAGUCUCCAGCAACUCUGCAUUUGGAGAUGAAUGAAGGGAACUGCGAGGGAAGAAAAUGUAUCUUAAGAACACAUGGAUUGUACAGUAAACACACAAAUGUCUUAACUUAAUGAAAAUGUAGUGAUGCAUGGAAGUCUUGUCAGGGAUUUUGCACCAUUGAUGCAUUAAUGCUGCUGCUUACUUUUUGUUUUUGAAAACUUUGAAGCAUAGUUGUGCAAUACAGCCUUGUGAUUCAAUGUGUCUCUUUAUAAUGACAAUAAUUCACUCAGUGUAGUUACUGUGGUCACAGUUUAGCCUUGCAUUUAUUGUAACCUCUCAGGUUUGCCUGCAUUGUGUGCCUUGGAUUAAAGUUUGUGAGAUACAGACUGGAGAUAAGUUAAAGGAAUAACCAAAAUAAAGUGUCGUCCUAAGAUAGUGAGCCACCACAAGCCACCAGAACAGAUUCAGUGUGUGCCUUGGCAUUGAUCCUACAAGUCUCUGGAACUGUACUGGAGCAAUGAACGCUGUCCUUCCCAAAGAUUUUUGUGUUUUGAUGAUGGUGCUGGAGAGUGCUGUGUAGUGACUGAUCUGAUCUGGUGACUGUGAAGGCCAUAGCAUAUAAUUUUCAUUAUUUUCAUCUUCAUCUAAGUGCCUAGAUGGGAUGGGGGCGGAGUCAUACUUUAAGAGACCACGCCCAUCAGUUUAGAAACAUUUCUUCAUAAGUUAAACCUGAUAAGUCAGAAGAACUUUUGAGGGAUUUGUGACGAUGCUUCUAAACGGGACAACUGCCUCCAAACUAUGACAGCAAAAUAAAUAAAUGCCCCCCACAGUGUUACAGAACUACUGUUUUUUCCUUUCACUUGUCACCUGUCUGUGUGUGUGUGUGUGUGUUUAUUUAAAGCUCUAGGAAACUGUAUAUAAAGCUUCGAUAAAAAAAUAAUUAAUUUCCAAAUCAUACACAGCACACACUGUACCAUUGUACUGUUAAGUCUGUAAUGGCUAUAUUGCAAGCACUGCCUUUUAAUGAUUUCAUUGGAUCAAUGGAUUGAACUGCUGCCUAAUAGCAACUUCUGUGCUCCACAAGAGGGAGGUGAUGACCACAAGAAAAGCAUGUGAACUCUCUGUAUUUCUGAAUGUGAUCUUGUUCAAUAAUACAUGAAUAAAUAUCAUAUUUUAAAUA